UACGUAGGGGGCAAGCGUUGUCCGGAUUUAUUGGGCGUAAAGCGCGUGUAGGCGGUUCGGUAAGUCUGCUGUGAAAGUCCAGGGCUCAACCCUGGGAUGCCGGUGGAUACUGUCGGACUAGAGUUCGGAAGAGGCGAGUGGAAUUCCCGGUGUAGCGGUGAAAUGCGUAGAUAUCGACAAGAACACCGGUGGCGAAGGCGGGUCUCUGGACAGUUCCUGACGCUGAGGGACGAAAGCUAGGGGAGCAAACGGG
rnacentral:rRNA from 1 species